GGGGUCCUUUAUAUAGAUGGAGAGCAUAACUAAUCGACAGCGAUGUCUGUAACCGCCUGAUAGUGGGCCAUUUAGAGCCACACAGAGUUUGUUGCAGAGAGUAGUAGCAUCAAUAGGCCAUUCAGAGCCACGUGGAGUUUGUUACGAAGAGUGGAGUGGUAUCCAUUGUUGCGACUUGCCAGAGAGUGACGGGGCCACAUGAAAUCCAUUACAGAGAGUGGAGUGGGGUAGUGGCCA
rnacentral:lncRNA from 1 species